GUAUUGUAUUGCGUUAAACGCGAUGUACAUUCCAUGAGACUUUAUUACAGUGUGUGUGUAAAUACAUAGGACCACGGCAGGGGGGACAGAGCCCCCAGGCUGCAGAACUACGGAGGGUGCACAGGUGUGAGUGGAUGUGCAAACAGAGUGUGCACAUGCCCCCGUUUGAGGGCCAGCAACAACUCGUGUUGACAAUUCGGUAAUGAUCCUUCCGCAGGUUCACCUACGGAAA
rnacentral:misc_RNA from 1 species